rnacentral:rRNA from 1 species
CGAAUAUCGAAUCUUUGAACGCACAUUGCGCCCUCUGGUAUUCCGGGGGGCAUGCCUGUCCGAGCGU